CCUACGGGUGGCAGCAGUGAGGAAUAUUGGUCAAUGGCCGUAAGGCUGAACCAGCUAAGUCGCGUGAGGGAAGACUGCCCUAUGGGUUGUAAACCUCUUUUAUGCGGGGGUAAAGGUGUUCACGUGUGGAUGUUUGCAGGUACCGCAUGCAUAAGGUCAGGCUAAUUCCGUGCCAGCAGCCGCGGUAAUACGGAAGGUCCGGGCGUUAUCCGGAUUUAUUGUGUUUAAAGGGAGCGUAGGCCGGUCUUUAAGCGUGCCGUGAAAUUUUGGGGCUCAACCAUGAGAGGGCAGCGCGAACUGGAAGCCUUGAGUGCGCGGAAGGCAGGCGGAAUUCGUGGUGUAGCGGUGAAAUGCGUAGAUAUUACGAAGAACCCCGAUUGCGAAGGCAGCCUGCUGCAGCGUUACUGACGCUGAAGCACGAAAGCGCGGGUAUCGAACAGGAUUAGAUACCCUGGUAGUC
rnacentral:rRNA from 1 species